rnacentral:rRNA from 1 species
AGAGUUUGAUCAUGGCUCAGGACGAACGCNNGGCGGCGUGCUUAACACAUGCAAGUCGAGCGGAAAGGCCCUUCGGGGUACUCGAGCGGCGAACGGGUGAGUAACACGUGAGCAAUCUGCCCUUAGCUUCGGGAUAGCUCCGGGAAACCGGAAUUAAUACCGGAUAUGACUAUGGCCGACAUCAGCCAUGGUGGAAAGUUUUUCGGCUAGGGAUGAGCUCGCGGCCUAUCAGCUAGUUGGUGGGGUAACGGCCUACCAAGGCGACGACGGGUAGCCGGCCUGAGAGGGCGACCGGCCACACUGGGACUGAGACACGGCCCAGACUCCUACGGGAGGCAGCAGUGGGGAAUAUUGCGCAAUGGGCGAAAGCCUGACGCAGCGACGCCGCGUGGGGGAUGAAGGCCUUCGGGUUGUAAACCCCUUUCAGCAGGGACGAAGCGAAAGUGACGGUACCUGCAGAAGAAGCGCCGGCUAACUACGUGCCAGCAGCCGCGGUAACACGUAGGGCGCAAGCGUUGUCCGGAAUUAUUGGGCGUAAAGAGCUCGUAGGCGGUCUGCCACGUCCGCUGUGAAAACCUAGGGCUUAACCCUGGGCUUGCAGUAGAUACGGGCAGACUAGAGGUAGGUAGGGGAGAAUGGAAUUCCCGGUGUAGCGGUGAAAUGCGCAGAUAUCGGGAGGAACACCGGUGGCGAAGGCGGUUCUCUGGGCCUUACCUGACGCUGAGGAGCGAAAGCGUGGGGAGCAAACAGGAUUAGAUACCCCCGUAGUCC